rfam:Triticum urartu cultivar G1812 contig50781, whole genome shotgun sequence.
AUUGUACUUCCUCCGUUCGAAAAUACUUGUCAUCAAAAUGGAUAAAAAGGAAUGUAUUUAAUACUAAAAUAUGUCUAAAUACAUCUCUUUUAUUUAUUUUGAUGACAAAUAUUUUCGGAUGAUGGAGUACUAC